rnacentral:rRNA from 1 species
GACGAACGCUGGCGGCGUGCCUAAUACAUGCAAGUUGAGCGCUGAAGGUUGGUACUUGUACCAACUGGAUGAGCAGCGAACGGGUGAGUAACGCGUGGGGAAUCUGCCUUUGAGCGGGGGACAACAUUUGGAAACGAAUGCUAAUACCGCAUAAAAACUUUAAACACAAGUUUUAAGUUUGAAAGAUGCAAUUGCAUCACUCAAAGAUGAUCCCGCGUUGUAUUAGCUAGUUGGUGAGGUAAAGGCUCACCAAGGCGAAGAUACAUAGCCGACCUGAGAGGGUGAUCGGGCACAAUGGGACUGAGACACGGCCCAAACUCCUACGGGAGGCAGCAGUAGGGAAUCUUCGGCAAUGGACGAAAGUCUGACCGAGCAACGCCGCGUGAGUGAAGGAGGUUUUCGGAUCGUAAAACUCUGUUGGUAGAGAAGAACGUUGGUGAGAGUGGAAAGCUCAUCAAGUGACGGUAACUACCCAGAAAGGGACGGCUAACUACGUG